rnacentral:lncRNA from 1 species
AAUAAUUGUUUGUUUGCUUAAACAGGCAAACGUUUUCGAUGUUUGUAGCGUCCUCUUCAGGUUUGCCAAGGCUUAAAACAAUCAAUCAAGUAGAAGAGAAUGACGAAACGGAGGCUGGAUACAUGAUGGUUCCUUACCACCUCGAAAACUUAAAACCGGUCCGAAAAGUAGUUAAGAAAAAUAAAAAGAAUAUGGUGAUUAAAAGGAACCCGACGGUUUAUAAUGUAUUGCGAAAUGAAAAAGGACCCACUACAAGAGUCUGAAAAAAGCGGCGUUUAUAAAGUCCCGGUAACAAACAAUGAAACUAAUGAAAAAUCUGCUUAUAUCGGAGUAACAACAAGAACAAUAAGUAAGAGAAUGACAGAGCAUAAAAGGGAUUAUAAGACUAGGGAAGCUUAGUACAGCCCUUGCAACAGAAG